GAACAACAGCUGGAAACGGCUGCUAAUACCCCAUAGGCUGAGGAGCAAAAGGAGGAAUCCGCCCAAGGAGGGGCUCGCGUCUGAUUAGUUAGUUGGUGAGGCAAUGGCUUACCAAGGCGACGAUCAGUAGCUGGUCCGAGAGGAUGAUCAGCCACACUGGGACUGAGACACGGCCCAGACUCCUACGGGAGGCAGCAGUGGGGAAUUUUCCGCAAUGGGCGAAAGCCUGACGGAGCAAUGCCGCGUGAAGGCAGAAGGCCCACGGGUCAUGAACUUCUUUUCUCGGAGAAGAAAAAAUGGCGGUAUCUGAGGAAUAAGCAUCGGCUAACUCUGUGCCAGCAGCCGCGGUAAGACAGAGGAUGCAAGCGUUAUCCGGAAUGAUUGGGCGUAAAGCGUCUGUAGGUGGCUUUUCAAGUCCGCCGUCAAAUCCCAGGGCUCAACCCUGGACAGGCGGUGGAAACUACCA
rnacentral:rRNA from 1 species